rnacentral:rRNA from 1 species
CCUACGGGAGGCAGCAGUGGGGAAUAUUGCACAAUGGGCGCAAGCCUGAUGCAGCGACGCCGCGUGCGGGAUGGAGGCCUUCGGGUUGUAAACCGCUUUUGUUCAAGGGCAAGGCACGGUCUUUGGCCGUGUUGAGUGGAUUGUUCGAAUAAGCACCGGCUAACUACGUGCCAGCAGCCGCGGUAAUACGUAGGGUGCAAGCGUUAUCCGGAUUUAUUGGGCGUAAAGGGCUCGUAGGCGGUUCGUCGCGUCCGGUGUGAAAGUCCAUCGCUUAACGGUGGAUCCGCGCCGGGUACGGGCGGGCUUGAGUGCGGUAGGGGAGACUGGAAGUCCCGGUGUAACGGUGGAAUGUGUAGAUAUCAGGAGGAACACCGGCGGCGAAGGCGGCCUGCUGGACCGCGACUGACGUUGAGGCUCGAAAGCGUGGGGAGCGAACAGGAUUAGAUACCCUAGUAGUC